CUGGCAGGGUGGAGAAUUAAGGGGCUGCGAGGGGCGCGUGUGAGUCCCGCACGCGGUGUUUCGGGCAGCGGCGGUGCCAGCCUGCCAGCCUUCCCGGGGCACUGCCAGGGUGCCGGCAGCUCUGCGAGGGCCUCCCACUACACGGAAACCGGCCUCGCCGCGGAGCCCGAGAACCGGCUCGGGCUGGUGAUGAGCAGCUCCGCAGGGGACCUGGGGAAGAAAGCAGGACGCAGAAGAGGAAGUUGGAAGGAUUGGCUCAGGAAAUAGCCCUGGACCCGGAGUCAGGAGAUCUGUACCGAAAAAUACUCCAUUAUCUGGACAUACUACAGUUUAAACAUUCACCUACUGAAGUAAUCUUGGUUGCUUUCUCAAUCAUGUAUAUGUGCUGCCGAAGCGAGCACGCAAGCUUUCUCAAUUAUAAAGAAAACAGCAGUAAAUAUCCAUGUGCAGGAUUUGAUGUGGACAUAAGUUUUCAACUCAUUUGGGUAAAUACCAAGGAGAACAACUGGCGGAUUGUUUGAUGCUGUCUUUGCGGUUACUAUGAGCCUCAUAUACAGUAACCUAAAGAAAGUUAUAACACUCUAAAUUGAAUUGGUAUCACCUUAACUGUAAGAGUUUACAAAAACUUUGCUCUUUGUUAUUGAUAUCACAAAUUAUAUAUGUAUUUUUGUCUUUGUCUUUCAAAUCGUGUAGAAAAUUAAAGGGGAGAUACAAACCAG